CAGGCCUAACACAUGCAAGUCGAGGGGUAACGAUGGUGCUUGCACCAGGCGACGACCGGCGCACGGGUGAGUAACGCGUAUGCAACCUGCCUUGUACAGGGGGAUAGCCCGGAGAAAUCCGGAUUAAUACCGCAUAAUGAUGAUUUUCUGCAUGGGAAAUUAUUUAAACCUUUUUGGGGUACAAGAUGGGCAUGCGUAGCAUUAGCUUGUUGGUGAGGUAACGGCUCACCAAGGCGAUGAUGCUUAGGGGGUCUGAGAGGAUAGUCCCCCACACUGGUACUGAGACACGGACCAGACUCCUACGGGAGGCAGCAGUGAGGAAUAUUGGUCAAUGGACGCAAGUCUGAACCAGCCAUGUCGCGUGCAGGAUGACGGCCCUAUGGGUUGUAAACUGCUUUUUUACGGGAAUAAUUGCAUCUACGUGUAGGUGUUUGAAGGUACCGUAUGAAUAAGGAUCGGCUAACUCCGUGCCAGCAGCCGCGGUAAUACGGAGGAUUCGAGCGUUAUCCGGAUUUAUUGGGUUUAAAGGGUCCGUAGGCGGGAAAGUCAGUCAGUGGUGAAAUCCAACAGCUCAACUGUAGCACUGCCAUUGAUACUGCUUUUCUUGAAUUAAGUUGAAGUGGGCGGAAUGUGACAUGUAGCGGUGAAAUGCAUAGAUAUGUCACAGAACACCGAUUGCGAAGGCAGCUCACUAAGCUUUUAUUGACGCUGAUGGACGAAAGCGUGGGU
rnacentral:rRNA from 1 species